AUCGCUUCUCGGCCUUUUGGCUGAGAUCAAGUGUAGUGUCUGUUCUUAUCUGUUUGAUAUCUGAUAUGUCCUUUAGAUGAGGACUGUGUAUUGGAUGGGUUUUUGAGACUUGGAGAUGGGGUGGGGGCUUGCUCCGUCCACUUCAUGCAUUGACCUGAUAUUGCAGUACUUCCGGGACCAGUGCACCAAAA
rnacentral:snRNA from 1 species